AGGUAAUAGAUACCCAGGUAGUCCACGCCGUAAACGAUGAAUACUAGGUGUAGGAGGUAUCGACUCCUUCUGUGCCGCAGUUAAACACAAUAAGUAUUCCGCCUGGGAAGUACGGUCGCAAGAUUAAAACUCAAAGGAAUUGACGGGGACCCGCACAAGCAGCGGAGCAUGUGGUUUAAUUCGAAGCAACGCGAAGAACCUUACCUAGACUUGACAUCUCCUGAAUUACUCGUAACUGAGGAAAUCCCUUCGGGGACAGGAAGACAGGUGGUACAUGGUUGUCGUCAGCUCGUGUCGUGAGAUGUUGGGUUAAGUCCCGCAACGAGCGCAACCCUUAUCAUUAGUUGCAAACAUUAAGUAGAGCACUCUAAUGAGACUGCCUGGGUUAACCAGGAGGAAGGUGGGGAUGACGUCAAAUCAUCAUGCCCCUUAUGUCUAGGGCUACACACGUGCUACAAUGGUGGGGACAAAAAGAUGCGAAACCGUAAGGUUGAGCCAAACUCAAAACCCAU
rnacentral:rRNA from 1 species